rnacentral:misc_RNA from 1 species
AUUGGAAAGACCACCAUAGCUGAAGUUCUAGUUAGUCGAAUAUCUAAUCAAUUUGAUCAUAUUUGCUUUCUUCGCAAUGUCAGGGAAAAAUCAGAAAAAAAUGGGCUAGAUGAUUUAAGAAAACUCUUUUUUUCCAAACUCCUAGGGAUUGAAAUUAGAGAUAUAGAAAUGGUUAUAGAAAUGGUAAGUGUGGUACCCACUUUUAUUAAGGAUUCACUUAAGAGAAAGAAAGUUCUUGUUGUUCUUGAUGAUGUUAAUGAGCCAGAACAACUAGAAGCUUUAGCUGUAAAUGAUGAUGAUUGUUUUGGGUCGGAAAGUAAAAUCAUUUUAAUAAGCAGAGACAAACAAGUCCUAAAAUUGUAUGUUCUUUUGUAAGAAACCAAGAAAGAAUCAAGAAAUUAGAGAGGAAUAUAGGUCCUUUUGUAAGACUCUACAAAGGAAACAAAAGAUUAGAGCAGAAAUGUAAGUCUUUUUGUAAGACUAGAAUAUAGGUUCUUUU